CCUACGGGAGGCAGCAGUAGGGAAUCUUCCGCAAUGGACGAAAGUCUGACGGAGCAACGCCGCGUGAACGAUGAAGGCCUUCGGGUCGUAAAGUUCUGUUGUUAGGGAAGAACAAGUGCUAGUUAAAUAAGCUGGCACCUUGACGGUACCUAACCAGAAAGCCACGGCUAACUACGUGCCAGCAGCCGCGGUAAUACGUAGGUGGCAAGCGUUGUCCGGAAUUAUUGGGCGUAAAGCGCGCGCAGGCGGUUUCUUAAGUCUGAUGUGAAAGCCCCCGGCUCAACCGGGGAGGGUCAUUGGAAACUGGGAAACUUGAGUGCAGAAGAGGAAAGUGGAAUUCCAAGUGUAGCGGUGAAAUGCGUAGAGAUUUGGAGGAACACCAGUGGCGAAGGCGACUUUCUGGUCUGUAACUGACGCUGAGGCGCGAAAGCGUGGGGAGCAAACAGGAUUAGAUACCCUGGUAGUCCACGCUGUAAACGAUGAGUGCUAAGUGUUAGAGGGUUUCCGCCCUUUAGUGCUGAAGUUAACGCAUUAAGCACUCCGCCUGGGGAUACGGUCGCAAGACUGAAACUUAGAAAGUAUACGGCGUGAGAGAGCGACGACGACGACGACGGAGGAGGAG
rnacentral:rRNA from 1 species